rnacentral:tRNA from 1 species
AGGUUUGUAACUCAGCCGGUAGAGUAUUUGCUGCGCUUGGGCAUGCUGUUUCUGUCGCUGGUUCGAAUCCAGCCCAAACUUU